rnacentral:piRNA from 1 species
UAAAAACUAACUUUAGGACAAGUAUGAUGAU